GUUUGUAUCGCGCUUGACCAAGCCUGAAACUACAAGUAAGCUUCAAGUGAAAUUGAUACAUUACCUUGUGCAUCUCCACCAGUUAAAGAUACCACCCCUGGAUAGAGGAAGAGUACUUCCAAAGAAAAUGCCACAUCUACCUAUGAGACAGAUAAGGCAAGUGAAGACGAUACCACACUUCGGUGCUUAGAAGUUUCGUGAUUACGAUAUCAUUCUCCCACAAUAUUUCCUAAUGUCAUUUGUACUAAAUCAUUCACUUGUACUCACUAAAGGAGAGCUUGAACCUAUGUACUUGUGUAAACCCUUCGCAAUUAAUGAGAAUUCCUAUAUUCCGUGGACGUAGCCAAUCUGGGUGAACCACGUACAUCUUGUGUUUGCUUUCCUAUCUCUAUCCAUUUAUAUACUUAUCCACACUAAUGACCGGAGCAAUCUAGCUAAGAUCACAAAAAGCGACCGUUUUCGCUACCUAGGAUCUAUCUUGCAAAAGAACAGAGAAUUAGAUGGAGAUCUCAACCAUAGAAUACAAGCUGGAUGGAUGAAGUGGAAGAGUGCAUCCGGCGUGUUGUGGGACCGUCAUAGGCCACUGAAGCUCAAGGGAAAAUUUUAUAGGACGGCAAUAAGGCCAGCGAUGCUGUAUGGCACAGAAUGUUGGACGGUGAAGCAUCAACACGUACACAAAAUGGGUGUAGCGGAGAUGAGGAUGCUUCGUGGGAUGUGUGGGCACACGAGAAAGGAUAAGAUUGGGAAUGAGGAUAUCCGAGGUAAAGUAGGAGUAGCCGAAAUUGACGGAAAGAUGAGAGAAAAUCAGUUACGAUGGUUUGGACAUGUGCAAAGAAGGCCUACUAACGCUCCGGUUCGAAUAUGUGACUACGGGACAGAGGUUCAGGGCCGAAGGGGUAGAGGAAGACCUAGGAAAACUUUGGAAGAGACCCUAAGAAAAGACUUAGGGGGCGUUUGUUACAGCUGCUUAGGAGGGACUGGCUUGGACUAGCUUAAAUAGGACUAUAAUCCUGUGUUUGGUGGCUGGCGGGACUAACAUUAAUGGCACUAGGUGGGACUCGCUUUCACAAACUCCUUCACUAGCCGGUCUUAGCGAGAGACCCCGACACCCAUAGGACUAGCUAAGACCUUCCAUUGUCCUAUCUUGCCUUCGUCCACUCUCGCUGCAUCUUUAUCUCCUUCGUCUGCUUCGCUGCCCUGGGUUCAUCGACCUCGAUUUUCUACGGCAUGGGAUUCAAUGAAAGCUGGAAGUUGGAGAGGCGUAGGGACAAGUAAGUUUACAGAGAUUGGAGAAAAGGGAAAUAGGAGGGAGAGGCGGAGGGACAUGGGGAAAAAAGGGAAAGGAGGAUGGAGAGGCGGGUGGAGAAAUAAGGUUACAGAGAGAUUGGAGAAGGGGAAAAAGGGAAAGGGGAUGGAGAAAAGGGAAAUAGGAGGGAGAGGCGGAGGGACAAAAAUGGGGUAAAAGGGAAAGGGGGAUGGAGAGGUGUAGUAAAAGGGAAAGGCGGAUGGAGAGGUGUAGGGACAAGUUAACAGAGAUCGGAGAAGGGGAAAAAGGGAAAGGAAGAUUGGAGAGGAUGAUGAUUAUAGAAGAAGGAAAAAACAAGAUAAAGUAAUAAUAAACUAUUAAUCAAUAUAUAUUAAAUUAAUAUAAAAUAAUAUAAUAUUGUAAUCCUGCUUCUUAGUCCGACACUGCACCAAACGCUUCACUAAACUAGUCUAGCUUAGUCUAGUCUAAGCCAGUCCAGUUUAGUCCCUGAAGCUAGUCCAAUCCGAGACAGUCUGGUGCAACAAACGCACCCUUAGAGUACUUGGAUCUAACGGAGGACAUGACACAAAACCGAGCGCAAUGGCGUUCUAGGAUUCAUAUAGCCGACCCCACUUAGUGGGAAAAGACUUUGUUGUUGUUGUAGUUGUCUUAUAUGAUAAUGUGCGUGACAUAUAUAUGGACUGAAUUGGAUUGCCAUGUCGCUGGUAGCUGUGGGAAGUAAUUAAUAUGGAUUAAAAUUUUAAGUUUUGCAAACAUGUAGCAAAAUUGACAUAUGGCAUGUUUUAUUAAAGGGAUUGGAUUGUCAUAUUGCUUUAAGCUUGAGAUGAUCUUAUGUAAAGACACAAAUGUGUUGAUUAGUAAUGCAGUAUACGAGCACUUAAAUUUGAUUGGGGAUUAAUUCAAGUACGGUUUAUAAUGAUAUUAACUACAUAAGGAAUUUGCAUGACUAAUCAAAUUAGUUUGGUCUACUAUUUUGCUUUCAUAUCUCAGUAUAGUCAAUUGUACAUGACUAGUUAAUUAUGAAAUUGAUGCAUAACUAGUGAAUUGACUGAGAAUGACAGAAAGCAUUCAGUGACAAGAACAAGGACAUUAUACAAAUAGAAUGAGGUUUGUAGUAAUUAUGUGACAAUUCUCAUUUAUAUUUUAUUUAUUUAUAUGAGAACUAUGGUUGGUCAUGUGAUUUUAAAUAUGUUUAUAAAGAAGUGGUGAACAUAUGAAGGCAUAAGGUAUGUAUUUCAUUCAGAGCAUGUGACUAAAUUGGUAAGCACGAAUUUUCAAACAUGUAUUGACACACCCCGUCCCGAAGGAGGGCAUGCUGGUCGUCAUGUAAGAGUGACGUAACCAUUUACACAAUUUGGAAGCUUUAAAGAUACAAUUACUAACAUGUAACACCCGAGGCUGAGUCCUACUUUUGUGAAUUCUGUCAGAACACCAUUGGAUUCCUCGUGGCCACCAAAGCUCUGCUAUUUGAACCUGGAGGGGCGCAAAACAAAGUUGAGUGGGUCAGUAAAACAAAGUUUUUCGAAAACAUUUCAUUGAACAACAUUUCUAACCCCUCGCUGUAAAACCUGUAUACUUUCCCAGAAAAUAGUAUAUAUAUAACCACAAAUAAUCUCAAAACUCAAAUCACAAGUCUUUAACACUUUUCAAGAAAAUAUGCCAUGAUAUGCAUCAAAACAUAAUAAAGAUGUAUCAAUAUAAUAGGUGAAUCAAGGAAUCAAUCGGAGACCCUAUAGUUGGUCUUGUACGGUUAAUUCUAUAGCUCAAUAUCCAAUCCAACCGGAGUCACCACUGUGACCUGUACGGCACUACUCUGCACAUAAAUCGGAACUACCUAAAGUAGUCUGUACGACAAGAAUGGUGUAAGAAUACGCUCUAGUGCUUCUCUCAUCAACAACUGUAUAACAAUCUAAAGUCACCUACAGGUCGGAACCACCUCUAGUGGUCUGUACGACAAGUCGGAAUCACCACUGUGAUCUGUAUGACAUGCACCUACUUGGAUCCAAGGUGAGCGUGUGGUGCGGGGUGAAUAAUAUAAGCACUAACACCAGGGGUGCAGGUUAUGAGCUCUCAACAUAAUUCACAUCAUCAAUAAAUCAUAUGAACAAUAUAAACUCACCUGAUACUCACAUGUGCGUCCACAGCACCAUUAACAUAUAUAUGCAUAAAUUACUAAUUCAUAUAUUUCAUAUAUAUGUAUGCAUGGCAUUUUAAAACAUACUUUCAUUUAAAUUCAAUUUCUGGGAAAAUCAAUAGUAUAUAGGUAUAUACAGAAAGUAACUGCCCACUCACCUGGAGUUCACCCUACAACUCCCUAGCACAACACAUCAAGGCGUCAUGACGAUCGGCGCCUAGAACAAUCAUCAAAUCAAACCUCAAAAAUCAUAUCGCUAGAAUAUAUAACUUAUAUAAAACAUGUCACUACGCAGUUCGAUCGGGAAGAUCUGCAACUCAGAUUUCCAAUCCAUAACUUCCAGAGGUCCACAAUAUAUCUCUAGAUCAACAUCCUAAAUUUCCUUACCAUCCAACGGUCGGAUCUUCGUCCACUGUCAAAACCAAGUGACGGUUAACAUUCUAUUUUAUGAACUUACAACUCCAAUUCCGGAAGAUCUGUAAAUCAGAUUCCCAAUCCGUAAGUUCCUAUAAUCCUCAAAUAUUACGUAUUACAACGUAUCAAAGUUUGGUGACGAUCCAACGGUCGGAUCGUCAAUUCACAUUUUCACCUAACCACGAAUCGUAAUGAACUUAGGUUCAAUUACUCAAUUUACGUCAAUCAAUUAUCAAACUGAACCUAGAACAUUAAACACAUGCUAAGAAUGACAUUGGCGGACCACUGGCCACGCGUCGCCGCACGGGCUGCCGCGGGUGGCGGUUGGCCGCCCCGGCUUGCCAGAAAAUCCAACUAUCUCCAAAAAUUACCGAAAUUUACAAAAAUGAAGAUCUCAAUGAGUAGAGUAAACUUUAUACCUGAGGCCAAGGCCAAUUUGGCUUGGAAACACUUCAAUUUCACCAAAAUCCGUGCGGACCUUAGAAAUGGGUGAGUUCCAAUUCGUCCUCAAAUCAACUCUGCCGUCCCAACCAAUGCUUGGGCUUUGUUCUAGGCCUCAAGAGGAAGCUAUGGGUGGCGGCAAUUGGAAGAAAUUGCUUCGGGAUUGGGUGAUUUGAAGACAAAGCCGCCGCACCCCUUUCUUGCGGUUUUCUCCAUUUUCAAAGCCAAAUCUCUCCAAUUUUGAGAUGGAAUGGAUAGAGGAAGGCUCCUAGAGUGUUUCCCAUGAGGUUUCUUGAAGCAAUUCGCCGGAAAAACGGGUGAAAAUCAUCAAAAAUCGGCAUGGGUGUCGACCGGGUCAAGAACGGGCCAAGGGGAUCCGGCCGAUCCCCCCCGCCACUCUCUCCCUCCUUUCCUCCUUUCCUCUUUUCUGGUUGGCCAUCCUCUCCUUCUCUCUCCUCUAGAUUCGCCAGCUCUCUCUCCUUUCUCUCCUUUCUCUCCGGCUCUCUUCCUCUGGUUGGGCAAUUCUGCCCAAUCUCUUCUUCUUCCUUUCUUUCUUCCACCAGCCACGCACACAAACACGUAACCUCCUUUCUUCUCAUCCCAGCCAUCCAUUUAUUUCUUCAUUAAAUAUGGGCCGUCCAUUUUCAUAAAAGAAAUUCCAUAUUUUACUAAAAUUAUAAUUCCUAAAAUGCCCAAAUUUCAAACAUUAAUAACUUUUUCGUUAUAACUCCAAAUCACGAACCGUCUGCGCCCACGCUUCUGUAGCGACGAGUACUACAAGGAUAUGUCAAGAAAACAAAUCUUAGAUGGCACGACAUGAUGAUUAACCUCGAAUAAUGCGCGUACCUCAAAGGGCAUUUUUGUAAAAUUCUUUAUUAAAACUUUAAAAACUCUUAAAAUUAGGGACGGGAUGUCACAUGUAUUAUUGUUUGUGGUUUUUCCUAUGCCUAAAGAAUUUAAACAGUGCUUUGAUUAGUAAAUUUUUAUGUGCCAUAAGGGGAGAAGAAAAGAAACUUUUCAAGGCUAAUGUAGGGCAUAUAUUGGAGAUGUUUUCUAUGGAAGGAAAUAAUUUUGGUUGUUCCUUUUAUUUAAUUUGGUAUUUACAAAGCUAAUUCAUGAUUUUAAUGCUAUAUUCAGUAGUUUUGUAUUACGGAAAGAAAUAUAUAAAAAGGAAAGGAACAUGUUUAACUUAAGAAAACAUUUGAGCAAUUUAGUUUUUAAGUAAUUGACUCCAUAAUGAUAAGUAUUGACAUUCUUGCGGUGGAAUGAAACUUGUUCUAUAUGUGAUUAAUCUCUUUCAAGUAUGCUGUUAGGUUUUUGAGAUUAAUUUAAUGUCAAAGGGAGUCAUGAAGGAAUUAGUGCCAUUUGUGGACAAGACUCGAAGUUCCAAUCAAGUUAUCAUAAUUUUGUCACUUACUGUUAAUUAAUCCAUGUGACUUCUUGUAUUGUUUCAGGGCGGAGUUGACCAAUGCCUUUUCAACUAAGCAAGACACAAGGGCUUAGUUGACGAUGGGACUAUGUUUUUGAGUUACUUCGGUCAACUGUGCAUCUUAAUUAGAAUAAAAGGGAUAAUCUUAUUGCCUACAGGUGUGGAUUAGUUCUUUUAGUUUAAUUAAGAUGGCAUAGUAUGGGUUUUAUUUCAUCGAAGUUGUGAAAAUCUUCAUCUUGCCUAUAGGUGUUGAAGUUUUUCAUGAAGGAAUUUUUGUGACAUAAAAUCUAGUACUAGAAACUAGUUAAUUUUCUUGCCUACAUGUGUAAAUUAAUUUAGUUUCAUGAAGUUUAUUGGGAUAAAGUUCCAUGCCAUUAGUGACAAAUUUCCACAAUGAGCCCCAUAAAAGGUUGUGGUUUGAAGGCAUGGAAAUCGGUUGCAUCAUGAUGUAUUUUGUAUCUCUUCAUGAGACUUGUUGAUGCAAAGUAUUGGACCCAUGAAGGUUAAUCAAGGAUUGCUAAGGUACGCAUUGUUUAAGUCUUAUGCUUGUAAAUCUUUUCAAUUUGAAUUAUGAUGUUGGUUUAGAGGAUGAAAUUUGACUACUAAAGUUUCCUUUGGACAUUGAAAUUGAAAUGAUAUGAAAUUGAAUUUGUUAUGGAUGCAUAAAUUCAUGAUAAACGCACAUAAUUGUUUCUGGCAGAUUGCGUGUCUUGAUUAAAUCGGGUGAAUGACAUGUCUAAUAGUCACCAAAUAACCUGAAGUUUGGAUAUGUUCAACAUAUAGAUGUCUAAUAUGUGUCUGAAAAUUUUCAUAAUUUUCUACCAUGUAUUUUAAUUAUGGUGAAUUUACUAGUAACCCAUGCUCGUAUAGACAGUUUUUACUGGCAGAUUGUGUUGGUCUUUUUGAGAUGUGACUUUGGACUACUAUUUUGACCAAAAACGGCUCUGAAUUUUUAUUUUUUGAAGAUUAGUAUGUCUAUUUUGAUCAGCAUAAAUUGGUAGCAAUCAAGCUUGUAAAUUAAUUAUGAUAAAUUAUAAAGUAAGUGUAACUCAUUGCUGAAAUUCUGUUUGACAACUUUAUGUUGGUUGUGAUGCCUAUUUUAUUAUGUCUAAAAUAUAAGGCAAUUUUAUUUAGGUACAUCUUUGAAAGAGUGUUUGCCCAAGUGGGAGAAUCAGUGAACGAAAAUUGGGCUUCACACUCAUUAACUUAUUUGCAAGUAUAAACUUUGAAAACUUAGUGGGAGUUGUUCUAAAAUUUUGAGCACUAAGUGGACUUGCAUGAAUCUAUUAAAGCAUUAUUCUAUCUUCCAUGAAUUUGUGUUACUUGAAUGUCUAUAAUAUGUUUACGUUGCACGAAUGGAUACUUGGUAUAUGUGUACAUUUUUCUGUUACUUGAAAUCAUUUGGAUUUCUCGGUUGAUCAUUUGUUUUGGGGCUCAUAAGGACUUAGCAUGAAUGUGGACUUAUUAAUACAUAUAAGAUGGUUGUUGGAUGCAAGUUUUGUGUAACAAUGGUGAAUGCUUUCAUGUUUAGUUGUACCUUUCAUUAAGGUAACAUGCAUUCAUUGACUGAGUAAGGCUAUUCCCAAAGGCAUAUUUUCAAAAGUAUGAUUUAUGUAUUGAUUUGCAAAUUAAGUAAUGAUGUUGCAGAUCAGUGGGAGUUUGAGUUUCAUGUUAGUAAUGCCUUACAUUUGCAGAUGACCUAUAAGGUAUGUAUAGAAUCCAUGUAUUCAAUUUAAUCUCCAGUUGGAUUCAUUAAGUCACAUUUUUCGUGUGCUAGUCAAUUAUUUGAUGAAAUAUAUAUUAGAUAUCAAGUUGUUAUCAAAUUGCAUAUUAAAUGGCAUGACAUGGUUUGUGUACUACCUCAGUUGUGAGGAUUUCCAUCUUGCCCGUAGGUGUUGGAAAUCACUAUGAAAGUAACUGGUAUGGUGCAUAGAUCAGUGUCAAAAACAUAUUAAUUCAUCUUGCUCACAAGUGUUGAAUUAAUUUGUUUUAUGAAGUUUUUGGGAUAUUUUACUUGGACAUGUGCCUUUUUGGUAUUUUCAGUUGUGUCCAUUGGCUACAAACAUCAUUUGUAUUAUUAUUGAUCUAAUGAAAGUGAUGCAUGAUUGUUUUGGAGAUGUAGUCAUACCUGCAGGUUAUGGUGGUUUCAUUAGAUGAAGGAUAUCUGCAUUGGCAAAUUUAAGGCUUCGAAAAAGCAUAAAGUGUAACUUGUGAGUUACAAUAAGGUGGACCUAAGAUGAUAUAAAGUAAGACAUUUUGGUUAAUUUAAAGUUUAUUUAAAGUUUCAUCUCUUGAUCAUAAUUUGUGUUUCAUGUGAAUGAGGAUCUUAGCAUGUGUGAUUAUGAAGGUUUUGGGUUGUGUCAAUCCUACAACCUUGUUAGUUCCAUGUUAAGAAAUGCAUUUGAUAGAAGCUGCAUUAAGGACGAGAUGUAAUCACUGUUAGAUGGCCACUUAAGUGACAUUAAUCUCCAAUCUCAAGUAUAAGGGUGGGCAUAAAAACCGUCAAACCACAAAACCGCAUCGAACCGUAUAAAAAAAACCGAAAAAAACCAUGUUGAUCGGAAAAGUCAACUUUGAGUCAAAAACCGAAUCGAACCGUUCAAACCGGUUCCGGUUCCGGUUUCGAAUGAACAAGAACCGGUCGGAACCGAACCGAACCGUUUUAUUAAUAAUUAAUUAAUUAAUUAUAUAUAUACACACAUGUCAUGAUAUAAUAGGUUGACAAAUUAGUUUCACCAAGUUGCAAAGCAUUGGAUCCCAUCCCAAUUAGGUUUUACACUUUUACUCACUCACUCACCUGAUCCUCACCCUCACCUCACUCUGACUUACACAGCCUCACCCCUCUCACAUCCCCAUUUCUCCAUUUCGCACAUUUGAGAUCCGACCCUCACCAUGGCCUCAGUUUCUGCGACUGUGACGGCCCUCAUCAUCCCUCCUUCGCGACAACUCACGACUAUUCGUCCUCCGUCCUCUCUCCUUGGUAUUUUCUCUAUCUUAUCUCAUAUAACUUGAAAUGUGGGUCGUCUUGUUAUUAAUGUGGGUUUCUAAAUUUGAUAUCUUUAAUCUUGUUUCUGGGUUUUGAUUUGAGCUUAUGACAGUUUUCGAUUUCUGGGCUUUUUUGUUUUUGUGAAUUUCUGUGGGUUUUGGCAAUUCCCGAGUUCCGAGUUCUCGUAUUGGAUGGAUGUUUACAUUCUUAUUCAUGUUCAUGUUUACAACCUUCUAUUUCUUUUUCUUAGUCUACAUUUUCUCAGCAACCAAACAUAUCCUAACCAACUCUGAAGGUGCAUUUUGUUCUUGUGAAUCGAUUGCGUUCGGUUCUGUCUUUACACAAUGUGGAAUAGAAAAAGGAUUUGGAGUUUUAAACAUUUACAGAACCCCAUUAUUACAUUAGGAUUAGUUGUACUGAAAUUAAGUGUUUAACUGUGCUGAAAUUAAAGUGGUUUAACUUUAAUUGACAACAUUAUUGCCCAGGGAAAAAUAAAGUGUUUAAUUGUGCUCUACAGUGGCACGAUUUGAAGGUUAAUUAACAAUUUGUUUUUUUGGUUGCUCUGCAGUGGCACAACUGACGACCAAAAUCAAGAAUCUAUUUUCAUUGUGAGGAGAAAAGAAGAUCUCAUUAGUGUAAAAGCAUUGGAAGACUGUCUUCAUCGGAUUCCUCCUAAUAGUUUCUCUAAGGUAUAAAAUGGUUUAAUUGUAGAUCUUCUGGAGUUUCAUUUUAGAUAUAUUUGUUACAAAUGUUCAUUUAUAUUAUUUUUCACUACAAAUAUUGCUCCAUGUUUUCUGCUACUAUCAUCAAUAACCACGAGAAAGUAGAAUGUAGCUUGUCCUUUAGGUCGUACAACAUUUGGCUUGACUGCCUUUAAGUGAUUGAGAUCCAUGUUAAUUCAAGUCUUUCAUGCUUCUGUUUGGUUGGAAUUUUAACCUGUGUUGAAUUUGGGGCAUCCAACUCGUAGCUUUGGAGAACAGGUUUAGCAUUGGAGCUCAUUGUUCAGCUGGGCUUUCUCCUUAAUCUUUCACUUUUACAUGAUAUGAUUAUACAUAAAGAGUGGGUAUAUUUGUCAGCAAAUUCUGUUUAAUUGUUGUGUAAUUAAAUUUAAACCUACAGUUUGAUUCUUCAAACUUUUAAAACUGGGGAAGCCCAUGUUUCCUCUAUGAAAUAAGUUGUUUGAUUCUGCUUACUCUCUGAAAUAAGUUGUUUGAUUUGAUUAUAUGUUGUUUGAUUGUGUACAGGAGCUGCUGCAGUGCUGCUUGCUCUCUGAGAUUUGUGGCUGACCUUCUUGCUUGCUGGAAUGGCAAUUUUGGAGGUCAUCUAGUCUCACAGAGGAUUUGUUUGAAGAGCACUUUGUGCAUUAUACGGUGCAUUUUGUGGGAAUUGAAGGACAUACCUCUUGUGUAUACUUAUCAUGCACUUGGAAAUGAACAAUAAUCUAUAUGAGGAGAUAAACCUACAGUUUGCUUCUUUAUUUUUUUGUUUGUUGACUGACUGAUCAAUGCAUGUCUUGUAGUUCCCUUUUUGUUGACUUGGUGCCACUACCAAAGACAUUGCAUUAAAAAAGAUGUGUUGUAUGCAACUUUAUAAAAUCAGUUUUAGAAGAUGUAUUUGAAUGUAUGAUGAUUUGGUGUUCAAAUAAUUUAGCAUUCGGAACCGUAAAUCGGCAAGAACCGAAUCGGAACCGGUGUAGAACCGUAAGGUUCUAAUAAUAAAUUUAAGUGGAACCGCACCGAACUGAACAGUUGAUUUUUCCGAUUCCGGUUCCGGUUUUGGGGUGGAACCGCACCGAAUCGCACCGUGCCCACCCCUACUCAAGUAUAAACAUGAAUAUUACAUUUUGUAGACCAAGUGGGAGAAUGUUGGAUUUAUCAAAUAUAAAUCUACCUUUAAGUGGUCUACUACAUGUAAUAGGAAUGUAAUAUUGGGAAUAAUGUUGAUUGUGAUUUGAUCUCUUAAAGAUAUCAAUCCUAUAUAAGGUGUCUUAUAUUGGAAAUAGGAUUGAUGGAAUCCUUAAUUGAAUAUGAUUAUGAUACUUGACUUACAGGCUAAGAAAGUAAAGUUUAGGUUUCCUUUAUGGAUGGAAACCCUAGAUUUUAGCCUAUAUAAAACACCGAUCCCUAUAAGCCCUAGAACACACAACAUAAUGCUUCCCAUAUAGUAGUUGUAUUCGGCUAGGAGUUUAUAGAAGAUCAUGGUGUUUCCGUGCUCUACUACUUUGUGUUCGACUUCCAUGGCCACUAUUGGAAUCAGGUCAGUUACUCAUUCGUUUGUGUUUUAAUUGUAUAACCUUAUAAGGCUAACAAUUUUCAGUUGAGAAGUUUAAUGGGAAAGGCAGUUUUACUCUCUGGCAGAUGAGAGUAAAGGAUGUCUUGACUCAACAAGGCUUGGCUAGAACUUUGAACGGAAAAGAUGGGAAGCCUAAAGAAAUGACAGAUGAUCAGUGAGAGGAGCUGGAGUCGCGUUGUGUUAGCACGAUUUGACCAACAAUGUUAUGGAUGAAGAUUCUGGAGAAGUUGGAAAAAUUCUAUAUUGCUAAAAGUUUGACCAACAAGUUACAUCUGAAGCGGAAGCUGUAUAAGCUGAAGAUGAAUGAAGGCAGGAAUCUCAUAGACCACAUGAAUGUGUUCAACGGAUACAUGGAUCGAUUGCGGAAAGUUGAUAUUAAGGUUGUGGAAGAAGAUAAAGCCCUCUUACUUCUUACCCCACUUCCAGAUCCGUAUGAGAAUCUUGUGACAACCUUACUACAUGGAAAAGAUACUGUAAGCUUGGAGCAGGUGUAGGCUUCUUUGGUGUUUUAUGAUACACAAAAGAAGAAAACCAUUGUUGAUGGUGGGCACGAGACUGCUUGAGCUGUUCAAGGUUGGAAUCGUGGAAGAAAAUUGGGUGGAGGAUUUGACAGAGACAGUAAGUUCAAAUCGAGUUCCGGAGGCAAGGGUCUACAAGACUACAAUGCUACGACUGCAAAGAAUUCGGGCAUAAAAAGAAAAAUUAUCCUUUGAGAAAAAGAAAAGAUGAUCUUGGUCUGGGUUGUAGCAAUUUUGUGGCGGAAGACUUCGAGUAUACCCUCUAGGUACUCAAAGCAACACUUCUCCUGGUGAUGUAUAGUCUCAAGUAUUAUAGGGGUUUUGCAGCAGGUGGAGCUAUGGGAUUCGCAAGUGAUAAAAUGGUCCUGAAGGAGGAGAAGUGUGAGGAAUGUUUGUUUGGCUUGACGGGUGUUGCUGGAAAUGGGCGGGCUGACAAGUUUCCAGGUUGCAGACAAUAAAGAGGGGGAAAUUCUACCGAAUGAGACGAGGGGUGUGUUGAGACCUUUUUUCUGAAGCUAAAUAGUGAUUUUUAGCUUGCAGCAGCUGCACAUGCAUUGGCAGUGACUAAAUCGGAACAUGACCAACGAGGUUGAUUCAGGGUGUGUAUGCUGGUAUAUAAGGCUAAUGGAGGAUUUGGCAAGGGAUGCAAGGAUUUUUUCAUGGUAUAUUCGCCAAGGUAGAGAUUGUUGUGUUUGGCUCAUAUAAUUAUGAGUUGGCAACAAUUUUGAUAGUGUAACUUUUUGAAUGCUACAAGGAAAUGGCAGCACCAUUUGUGACUUUGUGUUUGGCUUUCGGUUGUGGCAUGGAAGUCUUGUUUCAAGAGAAGACAUGGUGACUGCCACAAGCAAAGUUGGAAGCAAGCAAAUCUUGACUUUGUGUUUGCUUGCAUGCAAGUGUGCAUGUUUUAUUUUCUAUGCAUUAAAUGACAAAUGGAGAAAAAGUUGUACUCUAUAGGCUAGGUAUAGAAUAGGGUGUUGAAUAUGCCAUGCGAACUUAAGAUUUUUGAAUCCGACGCCAAGAUGAUCAUUUAGAUGCUCAGGAAGGAAAUGCCUAUUGACUUUAGCUUGGAAUGUAUUCUUGAUGAUAUUGAGAAUCUAGCACGCAGGUUGAUGUCGGUUUCAUUUUCUUACGUGUCUAGGGAGAGCAAUCUUGAUGCUCACUCGGUUGCUAAGUUUGUUUUCAAUGAGGGUCAAGACUUUAUCUGGGAUUGUAUAGGCCCAUAAUUUUUGUUUAACAGUCUUGCUAAGGAUGUAAACAUUCAUAUUCGUAUUUAAUCUAUCUCUAUCUUUGGAAAAAAAAAAAAAAGGAAAUAGUUAUGCAUUGUGUGAGCAUCCGGAGGAGAACACAAAGGAGAGAAAAUAGAGAGUGAGAGUGAGGCUCUUGGAAAUUUUUUGUGAGUGUACAAGGGAUUAGGGUUUGGGUUAUGUCAAUUUAACUCAAAUGUAUUUUGUACUAGUUAACUCCGCCUAUGUCUUACAUGGCCGGUCCCAAGCCCGGAUAAAGGAGGAGGGGGAGGGCGUCAGGUAGUCGACAGCCGGCACUCCAUGAUCACGUCGAAUCCUUAUGAAAAUGAAUCCAGAACAAAAUAGCGCUAAAGCUAGGGCGUCACCCGUAAGUGGCGCGCUGUGCGGCCCGAGCACAGUGAUAAGUGAGCAAGGGUCGCUGUAUCUCCAUCGGCACCCGGAUGCAGUGUUAAAUGAGCAAGGGGGCUAUAGAAACUUCUUUUCGAACGACUCCACUCAAAGUUGUUUGGGAGCAUAUGCUCCUAUCAACUUUACCCGGGACACACAAAAGAAGUACUUUGAUCCUAUUAGACGGGGGAGGGUGAAGAAGCUAGGACAGAAGGGUAGAGUUCAAGAGAGCAAAAUGCGUUUAGGAACGUGGAAUAUAGGAACCUUAACGGGAAAAUCUAUGGAAGUAGUGGAAGUUAUGGUGAGGAGAAGGAUAAAUAUUAUGUGCCUACAAGAAACUAAGUGGGUUGGUAGUAAGGCAAAGGAUCUAGAAAACUCAGGGUUUAAACUUUGGUAUUCGGGCACACAUAGAACGAGAAACGGUGUUGGCAUCAUCGUGGACAAGACCUUGGUACAAGAUGUUGUAGAUGUCAAGAGGGUAGGAGAUAGAAUCAUGGCAAUCAAGAUUGUAAUAGGACAAGAACUUAUCAAUGUGAUUAGUGCGUACGCACCUCAAGUAGGGUUGGAUACGAGGUCGAAGGAGAAAUUUUGGGAAGAUCUUGGAGACUUGGUGCAAGGAAUUGCUCAGACGGAGAAGUUAUUUAUAGGAGGAGAUUUAAAUGGACACGUGGGCAGGGAGACAGGCAACUAUGGAGGUUUUCAUGGUGGCCAUGGUUUUGGGAGAGAGAAACGAGGAUGGGGAAGCUAUCUUGGAUUUUGCAAUGGCAUUUGAUCUCUUCUUAGCCAACACCUUCUUUAAGAAGAGAGAAGAACAUGUGAUCACCUACAAGAGUGGGUCGUCAAAAACACAAAUAGAUUUUCUUCUAAUGAGGAAAGGGGAUCUUAUAACUUGUAAGGAUUGCAAAGUUAUACCAGGAGAGAGCGUGGCUAAUCAACAUCGCUUGUUGGUGAUGGAUGUACAUAUCAAAAGAGUGAGACAAAAGAACAAGACUUGGAAGUGCCCAAGGACUAGAUGGUGGAAUCUAAAAGAAGAAAAACAAGCCAUUUUCAAAAGAGAAAGUAAUCACCCAGUGUGUGUGGGAUAGAGAGAGGGGGAAGCUAGCCAAAUGUGGGAUUCCAUGGCUAGUUGUAUCCGAAAAGUAGCAAAAGAGGUAUUAGGAGAGUCCAAGGGCUUUGCCCCACACCAAAAGGAAUCUUGGUGGUGGAAUGAGGAGGUACAAACAAAGGUGAAGGCUAAGAAGGAAUGUUGUAAAGCCUUAAUACAAGGAUAGGACUGAUGAAAAUGGUGAAAGGUAUAGAAAAGCGAAGCAAGAGGCGAAGAAAGCUGUGAGAGAAGCUAAGUUAGCGGCUUACGACGAUAUGUAUAAACGACUAGAUACCAAAGAAGGAGAGUUGGAUAUCUAUAAACUAGCUAGAGCAAGGGAAAAGAAGACAAGGGACCUAAACCAAGUGAGGUGCAUCAAGGAUGAGGAUGGAAAAGUUCUUGCUACAGAGAAUGCGGUUAAAGACAGAUGGAGAGGUUAUUUUCAUAAUCUUUUCAAUAAAGGACAUGAAAGGAGUGCUUCUUUAGGGGAGUUGAGUAACUCAGAAGAGUGUAGAAACUACUCUUUUUAUCGUCGAAUCCGGAAGGAAGAAGUGGUUGUAGCUUUGAAGAAGAUGAAGCAAAGAAAAGCAAUAGGCCCAGAUGAGAUACCAAUCGAAGUGUGGAAAGUUUUGGGAGAGACAGGUAUAACAUGGCUCACUGACCUUUUCAAUAGGAUUUUGAAAACGAAGAAGAUGCCAAAUGAGUGGCGAACGAGCACUUUAGUGCCUAUCUACAGGAAUAAGGGCGACGUACAAAAUUGCAUGAACUAUAGGGGUAUUAAGCUAAUGAGUCAUACAAUGAAGCUCUGGGAGAAAGUCAUUGAGCAUAGAUUGAGGCAAGAGACACGGGUUUCGGACAACCAAUUCGGGUUCAUGCCAGGGCGCUCAACCAUGGAGGCAAUCUAUCUCUUACGAAGAUUGAUGGAAAGAUAUAGAGAUGGGAAAAAGGAUUUACACAUGGUCUUUAUAGAUUUGGAGAAAGCGUACGAUAGGGUCCCAAGAGACAUUCUUUGGAGGAUUUUUAGAGAAGAAAGGAGUACGAGUAGCAUAUAUCCAAGCUAUAAAGGAUAUGUAUGAAGGAGCAAAGACUGCCGUAAGAACUCAUGAAGGACAAACUGAAAGCUUUCCCAUAACUGUAGGAUUACAUCAAGGCUCAUCCUUAAGUCCUUACCUUUUUUGCGUUGGUAAUGGAUGAGUUAACAGGACAUAUUCAAGAUGAUAUUCCUUGGUGUAUGCUUUUCGCAGACGAUAUAGUGUUGAUAGAUGAAACUCAGGAAGGGGUAAAUGCAAAGCUUAACCUUUGGAAAGAAGUGUUGGAAUCUAAAGGUCUUCGCCUAAGCCGAUCAAAGACAGAAUAUAUGGAGUGCAAGUUCAGUGCAAAUGGAGGCCAAAACGAGUUAGGGGUGAGGAUCGGUGAUCAAGAAAUACCAAAGAGCGAUCGUUUUCGUUACCUAGGAUCUAUCUUGCAAAAAAACGGAGAAUUAGAUGGAGAUCUCAACCAUAGAAUACAAGCUGGAUGGAUGAAGUGGAAGAGUGCAUCCGGCGUGUUGUGUGACCGCCGUAUGCCAUUGAAGCUCAAGGGAAAAUUUUAUAGGACGGCAAUAAGGCCGGCGAUGCUGUAUGGCACAGAAUGUUGGGCGGUGAAGCAUCAACACGUACACAAAAUGGGUGUAGCGGAGAUGAGGAUGCUUCGUUGGAUGUGUGGGCACACGAGAAAGGAUAAGAUUAGGAAUGAGGAUAUCCGGGGUAAAGUAGGAGUAGCAGAAAUUGAAGGAAAGAUGAGAGAAAAUCGGUUACGGUGGUUUGGACAUGUGCAAAGAAGGCUUACUGACGCUCCGAUUAGAAGAUGUGACUAUGGGAUAGAGGUUCAGGGCCGAAGGGGUAGAGGAAGACCUAGGAAAACUUUGGAGAGACUCUAAGAAAAGACUUAGAGUACUUGGAUCUAACGAAGGACAUGACACAGGACCGAGCACAAUGGCGUUCUAAGAUUCAUGUAGCCGAUCCCACUCAGUGACUUGGAUUUUCCAAGUCUCCAACCGAGAAGUUUUCCUCACUCAGGAAAUUAAGGGAACACUACCUCAACCUACAUGCUCCACUCACAAAGCUCCAACAAAAGAAAAUUCAAAGAACUUAGCGAAGAAGGCUUUGGUGUAUUUAACACAAUACGUUGAAAUGAAGGAAAGCAUAUUUAUUGAUAUCCCCGAUAAGCUACAAAUAUGUACAUAUACAUGAGUCAAAAUAAACAAACAAGAGAGAGCCUUCACAAAGGUUGCUUAGGAGAAGUCGCAGCAGUCGGUAGAGCCCCAGAAAGAGAAGGCACCAGAGGGGGAUCAUUCGGAGCCUCAGUACUGGACAGAACCCUAGAAGGAGGAGGCAUCAGAGGUUGAUCAUUUGGAGCUUCAUUACGCGGUACAGCCCCAGAAGACGAAGGCAAUAAAUGCCUUUGGAACAAACCCACAAAUCUCUGAUGAUCAAGUAAAACCUGACCAUCAGAUUCCUUCAUCUGGUCCAGCUUCCUCUUCAUGUUUGUAGCAUAGUCAUGUGCGAGACGGUGCAACUGUUUAUUCUCAUGCUUGAGCCCUCUAAUCUCCUGUUUGAGACUCAUCACUUCAGCCGCCAAUGAUUCAACUUGGCGGGUUCGAGCAAAUAGGCGUUGGGCCAUAUUAGACACAGAACCUGCACACUGAACACUGAGAGCCAGAGAAUCCUUAACAGCUAACUCAUCAGAUCGUUUGGAAAGUAGUCUGUUAUCUUUGGGAGUGAGAAUGUUCCUGGCCACCACCGCAGCGGUCAUAUCAUUCUUCAUAACGGAAUCCCCAACGGUAAGAGGACCAGUAGGGGAGACGAAGGAUGGGCGCCAUAUGUUGUCUGGAGAAGGCGGGGCUGCCUCUUCAACAAGGUUCAAGUCAAAACGACGGUCGGAAGGGCCAGACAUUUUCAAAGGUGUUGAAGAGAGAAGAGGUCGAACAAAUCAAGAUCUUAGAAGUGUAAGAAUGGAGCUUCUACUGGUGGAGAUUCAAGUGUGCUUUGGAACUUAAUGCCAACCCCUAUAAAAAUCUGCACUCGACGGAGCUUCAGAAAUCGAAGAGGCGCCUGCUCAGAAAUCGAAGAGGCGUUUGCUUUCUCAAAAGCUGGGCUGCUCAGAGACCACGAGGGUCGAUCUCAGAAAUCGAAGAGGCGUCUGCUUUCUCAAAAGUUGGGCUGCUCAAAGACCACGAAGGCCGAUCUCAGAAAUCGAAGAGGCGCUUGCUUUCUCAAAAGUUGGGCUGCUCAGAGACCACGAGGGCCGAUCUCAGAAAUCGAAGAGGCACCUACUUUUCCAGCCUUGGCAGCACCUGUCACACGCACACUCAGCUUUGCGGAAAUUAUGGGCAUUCUGUCGAAGACUUCUGGUGAAGUAGAAAGCACAUGAGUCUUACUGUUCAAUCACCCACUUCCCACACGCAAUAGUAGCUCAUGUGUAUCACAGAUAACUUUGCCAAAGUUCUCUGCCAAAGUUGAGCACGUGAAGCUUGCAGCUUCCACUACAUCGCUCUGACCAAGACGGGUAAAAGAAUAGCAAAGAAACAGCACUAACAAAGUUUAGACACAUAAAUUUUGAAGGUCUAGCUACCCCAUAUUAUUACCCACAAGGGUAAAGGAACAGUAUCACUGCUGGAUAAUUGGAAAGUCCCUGUGUGUCAACCUCUGUGCUUCGUGGCAAGGUAGACUAGCAAACAUGCCCAACCUUUACUCACAUUCGAGAAAACACUCCCAACAAGAUUGCUUGCUCCAAAAUCGAAGAGGCACCGUCCUCCGAAUCUCGAGAGCCAGACUCCCAACAUGACUACUUUCUCAAAAAUCGAAGAGAGGGUAAAGGAACAGUACCAUUGCUGGAUAAUUGGAAAGUCCCUGUGUGUCAACCUCUGUGCUUCGUGGCAAGGUAGACUAGCAAACAUGCCCAACCUUUACUCACAUUCGAGAAAAACACUCCCAACAAGAUUGCUUGCUCCAAAAUCGAAGAGGCACCGCCCUCCGAAUCUCGAGAGCCAGACUCCCAACAUGAUUACUUUCCCAAAAAUCGAAGAGACACCGCUCUCCGAAUCUCGAGAGCCAGACCCCCAGAAUGAUUGCUUUCUCAAAAAUCGAAGAGACAUCGUUCUCCGAAUCUCGAGAGCCAGAUCCCUGAUAGGAUUGCUUGUUCGAAAACCGAAGAGGCAACACUUUCCCAACUACAAGAGCCGGAUCUCCUUGGAUAAAGCUGUCUGUAAUCUUCACACGCAACAUCAGCUUUCCACAUACCACAGACCACUUUUUCAAAGUGCUCUGACAGGGUAAAGGAAUAGCAUUAUUACUUGUUGUUAAGGAGACUCCUAUAUAUGUCAACCUCCAUCCCCAACGGACAAACAGACCUGCAAAAAUGCUCAACCCUUCCUCAUAUAUGAGAGGGCACUCUCAACGAAGCCUUUCGAAAUAUUCAGCUCUCUUUCCCCCCGAUAAUACCUCUGCAAACAAGUUAUACUAGAGCAAGAAUAUCUCAUAUCAUCAGGGUUAAAAGCAAGAGUAUCCCAUAUCAUGCUUUUUCCCUGUCUUUUCCUUUGGCCUUGUUCUUACCUGCAAGACAAGGAGAAAGAGAGCAAUCAGUCAGCACUUGGAAUCAAGCUUCCAGCCAGGAACUGACUGCCUGGAACUUACUUACCUGGCAUUGCUCUCGAGUACUCAUCUUCACAUCUUAUGCUUCCAGGGAAGAUACCGCAUCUGCCUGAGGAACAGAUAGGGCAAGUGAGAAGGAUACAAGGAAGCAUGUGGAGACAAACGUAACAGCACACGUGCCGAUACAUCCAUUACUCUGUCAAAGCAAAAGUAUCCCAUAUCAGUAGGGUCGAACGUACUCUAGAUUUGAUGGACUUGUUUUGACCCUCAAAUUCUUCAGUCGGCCUUAUACUCUGGAGGAAACCAGAAAACCCUCCAGCUCAGUUCAAGAAUAAGUCUGUGGAAAGUUACUUCUUCAAAAGCAAAAGUAUCCCAUAUCAUCUCUUUUCUCAUUUUUCUUCUCUUUAUCCUUCAUGCUGCCUGCAAGAUAGGGAGAAUGUGAACAAUCAGCCGGAGCUCUGAUUGCUUACCUUGUCUGUCACCUCUUUCAGUAAAUCCCCUAGCUCGGCAACUUGAGGGACUCCUACUACAUGGUUUGUAUCGUGCUUGACCAAGCCUGAAACUACAAGUAAGCUUCAAGUGAAAUUGAUACAUUACCUUGUGCAUCUCCACCAGUUUAAAGAUACCACCCCUGGAUGGAGAAAAGAGUACUUCCAGAGAAGAUGCCACAUCUACCUAUGAGACAGAUAAGGCAAGUCAAGACGAUACCACAUUCCGAUACUUAGAAGUUUCGUGAUUACGAGAUCAUUCUGCCACAAUAUUUCCUAAUGUCAUUUGUACUAAAUCAUUCACCUGUACUCACUAAAGGAAAGCUGAAACCUAUGUACUUGUGUAAACCCUUCACAAUUAAUGAGAACUCCUCUAUUCCGUGGACGUAGCCAAUCUGGGUGAACCACGUACAUCUUGUGUUUGCUUUCCUAUCUAUAUCCAUUUAUAUACUUAUCCACACUAAUGAUCGGAGCAAUCUAGCGAAGAUCACAAAAAGCGACCGUUUUCGCUACCUAGGAUAUAUCGUGCAAGAGAACGGAGAAUUAGAGAGAGAUCUCAACCAUAGAAUAGAAGUUGGAUAGAUGAAGUGUAAGAGUGCAUCCGGCAGGUUUGUGUGACCGUCGUAGGCCACUGAAGCUCAAGGGAAAAAUUUUUAUAGGACGG
rnacentral:lncRNA from 1 species